CGGGUACUCCCGGGAGGGCAGGGACUCUGCGAUCGCCCCAUGGGCUUCGGCGAUCUGGCAGGAGGCGACGGUGUCUCCGAUGCACGGUUGGACUCCAAGCGUGGAGACAGACGUAUCCUGAAGCCAUCGCAGGCUGGAUGACGGUGGAAGGCCUGGGACACAUUGAAGAA